rnacentral:rRNA from 1 species
AAUGGGCGCAAGCCUGAUCCAGCGAUGCCGCGUGGAUGAUGAAGGCCCUAGGGUUGUAAAGUCCCUUCGAUGGUGAAGAUAAUGACGGUAACCAUUAAAGAAGCCCCGGCUAAUUUCGUGCCAGCAGCCGCGGUAAUACGAAAGGGGCAAGCGUUGUUCGGAAUUACUGGGCGUAAAGCGCGCGUAGGCGGCAUGCCAAGUUGGGGGUGAAAUCCCGGAGCUCAACUCCGGAACUGCCUCCAAAACUGGCAAGCUAGAGGAUGUGAGAGGAUAGUGGAAUUCCGAGUGUAGAGGUGAAAUUCGUAGAUAUUCGGAAGAACACCAGUGGCGAAGGCGACUGUCUGGCACAUUUCUGACGCUGAGGUGCGAAAGCGUGGGGAGCGAACAGGAUU